rnacentral:rRNA from 1 species
CCAAGAGUUCAUAUCGACGGCGGUUUUUUUCCCCUCUCUUUCUUCUCCUCCCCUCCU